AGUGCAGUUGGUAGAGCGUUAGACUUUUAAUCUAACGGUUAGGGGUUCGAGCCCCCU
rnacentral:tRNA from 1 species